rfam:Loktanella sp. S4079 contig0005, whole genome shotgun sequence.
GGGGACCUUCGGGGCCCUUUAACCACAGGUCCCAUCUGGGACCGACAGAGCAAACGGAAGAAGCUA